rnacentral:rRNA from 1 species
UACGUAGGGUGCAAGCGUUGUCCGGAAUUAUUGGGCGUAAAGAGCUCGUAGGCGGUCUGUCGCGUCUGCUGUGAAAACUCAGGGCUCAACCUUGGGCUUGCAGUGGGUACGGGCAGACUAGAGUGCGGUAGGGGUGACUGGAAUUCCUGGUGUAGCGGUGGAAUGCGCAGAUAUCAGGAGGAACACCGAUGGCGAAGGCAGGUCACUGGGCCGCAACUGACGCUGAGGAAGCGAAAGCAUGGGGAGCGAACAGG